rnacentral:tRNA from 1 species
GCCGGCGUAGCUCAGGUGGUUAGAGCGACGGUCUCAUAAUCCGUAGGCAGCUGGUUCAACUCCAGCCGCCGGCACCA